GUCCUCCUCCUCGCGUCCACUGCCGGCCUUUAUGUGUUGAUAUAAAUCAUAAGGCACGCGGUGAAUGCCAAGAGAGGACUC
rfam:Papilio xuthus contig17477, whole genome shotgun sequence.